AUUGAACGCUGGCGGCAGGCCUAACACAUGCAAGUCGAACGAGUGGCGGACGGGUGAGUAAUGUCUGGGAAACUGCCCGAUGGAGGGGGAUAACUACUGGAAACGGUAGCUAAUACCGCAUACCAUCGGAUGUGCCCCGAUGGGAUUAGCUAGUAGGUGGGGUAACGGCUCACCUAGGCGACGAUCCCUAGCUGGUCUGAGAGGAUGACCAGCCCCACUGGAACGGAGAUACGGUCCAGACUCCUACGGGAGGCAGCAGUGGGGAAUAGUGCACAAGGGGCGCAAGCCUGAUGCAGCCAUGCCGCGUGUAUGAAGAAGGCAUUCGGGUUGUAGAGUACGUGCAGCGAGGAGGCGUUACUAGCAGAAGAAGCACCGGCUAACUCCGUGCCAGCAGCCGCGGUAAUUC
rnacentral:rRNA from 1 species